GUAAUUAUAGUUCCUGGCUAUCCGGACUUUUUAACAAGGACAACAACAGUGUGGAAGUUGCACACUUCCAUGGUUUACAAGAAGCAUUGGACGAAACUCGUUAUGGGGAAACACCAGACUACCUCAAACGUAUCGCAACCGUAAUCGAAGUGGAUCGUGGAAAAGCUACUAAGUUUGGCCAUAAAAAUAUUGAAGUGCUGGUUUGUGCCGCAUUCAAAGAGAUGGAAGACUGGCGUACACCUAAGGAUUCCGGCUGUAACCAGUUGAAAAAGUGGGCCGCGACGCUCAAUAUGGGUAAGGAACAAGACUUUGAAGUGAAAUUUGCUGAUGACACGUUGAAUAAUAUUUGUCUUGCCUGUUAUGCUUCCUUAAUGAUCUAUGGAGGGGAUGGUUCAAUUCAGUUCAUACCAUUGGGGAACACUAUUACUAGUGGAAUGCUUCAAAAGGGUGGGCGUGAGGCGUCUGAAGCACAAUACAAUACAAACACACCACCAUUGUCGCACAGUGAUAAUCAGAUGAACUUAAUGCUCAGUGGAAGCAACAAAAGAGACGGGGUUUCAGAAGCUGGAGUACAAGGUACUGAAAUGAAUGAUGUUACUAUUACUGUUGAUCAAGACCACGGAAGUUUGCUGGCUGGGGAGAUAUUGAAGCGUAAUUAUAGUUCCUGGCUAUCCGGCCUUUUUAACAAAGACAACAACAGUGUGGAAGUUGCACACUUCCAUGGCUUACAAGAAGCAUCGGACAAAACUCGCUAUGGGGAAACACCAGACUACCUCAAAGGUAUCGCGGCUCUAAUCGAAGUGGAUCGUGGAAAAGCUACUAAGUUUGGCCAUAAAAAUAUUGAAGUUUUGAUUUGUGCCGCAAUCAAAGAGAUGGAAGACUGGCGUACACCUAAGGAUUCCGGCUAUAACCAGUUGAAAAAGUGGGCCGCGACGCUCAAUAUGGGUAAGGAACAAGAUUUUGAAGUGAAACUUGCUGAUGACAUGUUGAAUAAUAUUUGUCUUGCCUGUUAUGCUUACUUAAUGAUUUAUGGAGAGGAUGGUUCAGUUCAUAAGGUUGCGAGUGG
rnacentral:lncRNA from 1 species